UACGUAGGUGGCAAGCGUUGUCCGGAUUUACUGGGCGUAAAGAGCGCGCAGGCGGUCGCUCAAGUCGCGUGUGAAAGCCCCCGGCUCAACUGGGGAGGGUCACGCGAUACUGAUCGACUGGAAGGCAGGAGAGGGUAGUGGAAUUCCCGGUGUAGUGGUGAAAUGCGUAGAUAUCGGGAGGAACACCGGUGGCGAAGGCGGUUCUCUGGGCCUGUACUGACGCUGAGGAGCGAAAGCGUGGGGAGCGAACAGG
rnacentral:rRNA from 1 species